CUAUGUGUAUUUAGAAUGUCUCAUUCAGUGAUUGCAACUGAAUUCAUAAGGAGUUUAUCAACCAUACCAGAUCAAAAAGUAUAAGCAUAUUCUGGCAUAUACAUUGAAGACUCUUGGAUAAACACGUAUCUAGAAAGAAAAUACAAAAUACAGAAGAUUUUAAACUACCUUUAUUGUCAUGCGAUUUGUUUAACUCUUGUCACAGAAAUUUGAGAACAAGAAUAAAUCUUUUUGAAAGCUAUAGUAUACGGGAACACAGGCAAUGGUGUUUAUUUCCUGAAUUCUGAAUUGGCUCUGUGACUUAAUAGUAUAAUACUGUAAUGGUUGAUUAAUUGCAUCAACUUGAGUAAGAGAAGCUCAACUAAAUUGGCUCAGCAAUUCCACAGCAGAAGAUCCGCCCUAGGGGAGCUUGUCACUUGGAUGAUACAAGAGAAAUGAAGAUGGAUGGAUCUGUGUCUGUUUCUCUGCAGGAGCUCCAGUCUUUGCCUUCACCUCGGAUGUCAUCUCCGGGCUUCCGGUGCAGACUCUUCAGCUUCCAGCAUAGAUCCUUCACCCUUCCAUCACAGACCCAUUGGCCUCCUGAUACCGACUCGCAUGAGACCCUGCAGCGAGCUCUAGACCUUGGACUGAAUACUUCAGUCUCCAGUGUGCAAACAGACCCUCUGCAGUCUUCCACACCCAGCUCUGUGGGUGGCCAUUGUGGGAAACUGCAUUAAGGAAUUAUCUAUGGUCCCACGAAGAGGCUGUGAAAGACCCACAGCUGGAACUCAAAUGGGCUACAUUUCAGGAGGGGCAGAAGUAGUCCCAAGGAAUCUGUUCCCUGACACCUACAUAACCACCAAGGAGCACAUGCAGCUAGGUGAGCUG